AAAGAAAAUCUCUUCAAACAUUUUUUUGAGAGGAUUAAUAUUCAACAGCAUAGUGAAUUGCUCAAAGGCAAAAAAAAAAAAAAAUAUUUUAAGUUCAUUAGACCACAUUCAUUCUGUGUCUGAAACCUAUGCUGUGUCAACUAUUUAAUCACAAUCCAAAUUUAGAGCUGAAUCCAGCUUGAAUGUUGUGUCCAUACUUGCCCCAACCGUUCAGGUUUCAACCUCUGCGGUCGUAUAAAG
rnacentral:lncRNA from 1 species